UUGGAGGGCGGUGAUCAAACCGUUACCAUUACUGAGUUUUAGUAAUGGUAAGGGUUAUAUUGCCUCUUCUCAC
rnacentral:pre_miRNA from 1 species